rnacentral:tRNA from 1 species
GUGCCUAUGGCGAAACUGGCAGCCGCGAGGGGUUUAGGUUCCCUUGUCGAAAGACGUGCAGGUUCGAGUCCUGUUAGGCACA